CCAGACUCCUACGGGAGGCAGCAGUGGGGAAUAUUGCACAAUGGGGGAAACCCUGAUGCAGCGACGCCGCGUGAGUGAAGAAGUAAUUCGUUAUGUAAAGCUCUAUCAGCAGGGAAGAAAAUGACGGUACCUGAGUAAGAAGCCCCGGCCAACUACGUGCCAGCAGCCGCGGUAAUACGUAGGGGGCAAGCGUUAUCCGGAUUCACUGGGUGUAAAGGGAGCGUAGACGGCGACGCAAGUCUGGAGUGAAAGCCCGGGGCCCAACCCCGGGACUGCUCUGGAAACUGCGUCGCUGGAGUACGGGAGGGGCAGGCGGAAUUCCUAGUGUAGCGGUGAAAUGCGUAGAUAUUAGGAGGAACACCAGUGGCGAAGGCGGCCUGCUGGGCUUUUACUGACGCUGAGGCUCGAAAGUGUGGGGAGCAAACAGGAUUAGAUACCCUCGUAUA
rnacentral:rRNA from 1 species